rnacentral:misc_RNA from 1 species
GCAAACUUGGUCAUUUAGAGGAAGUAAAAGUCGUAACAAGGUUUCCGUAGGUGAACCUGCGGAAGGAUCAUUACUGAAUUACCGAAGGGUUGUCGCUGACUUCUUAGGAAGUACGUGCACGCCUUUCAAAUUCAUCUUAACCACCUGUGCACCUGUGUAGACUUGGCACCUCUCGGUCUUUUAUUAGGCUGGAUGGAGGGACUUGCGUUUAAGCUGUCCUUCAAUGCCAUUGUCUAUGUUUAUCUAUCUACUAUAUUGUCCAGAAUGUCGUUAUUAGGUCUUGUGCCUAUAAACUUAUACAACUUUCAACAACGGAUCUCUUGGCUCUCGCAUCGAUGAAGAACGCAGC